AGCGAACGCUGGCGGCAGGCCUAACACAUGCAAGUCGAACGGAUCCUUCGGGAUUAGUGGCGGACGAGUGAGUAACACGUGGGAACGUGCCCUUUGGUUCGGAACAACUCAGGGAAACUUGAGCUAAUACCGGAUGUGCCCUUCGGGGGAAAGAUUUAUCGCCAUUGGAGCGGCCCGCGUCUGAUUAGCUAGUUGGUGAGGUAACGGCCCACCAAGGCGACGAUCAGUAGCUGGUCUGAGAGGAUGAUCAGCCACACUGGGACUGAGACACGGCCCAGACUCCUACGGGAGGCAGCAGUGGGGAAUCUUGCGCAAUGGGCGAAAGCCUGACGCAGCCAUGCCGCGUGAAUGAUGAAGGUCUUAGGAUUGUAAAAUUCUUUCAGCGGGGACGAUAAUGACGGUACCCGCAGAAGAAGCUCCGGCUAACUUCGUG
rnacentral:rRNA from 1 species